UUCUAGAUAACGUGCUGUUUCACUGGCUCACGUCUUGUGAUGGGCGUAGUUAAAAUCCUUUCUUCCGGAAGAAAAAAAGAGAGAGAGAAGAAUCCAGGGUGCCUUAUUUUUCUCAACACAUCCAAUGCUCUCCAAGCUGGCCUGGCACUGAUUAUGAUAAGCUGAUUUUAGCACUGGUGAUACCUUCUAGACGAGCUACUGUCAGGGGAGAACAAAUCAUCCAAAACCAAAGAGUAACUAAAAGCAUUUCCUGAAUUCUCUGGAAGUUUCCUUGGACAUCUUCCACUGGAGUACAAAUGAGCCCCAAUCCAACUAAUUCUUGGAAAAGAAAUAAAGUUACGAAAGGA